GUUGGUGUCUAUAGCGAGGUGGGUACACCCGAUCCCAUCCCGAACUCGGAAGUUAAGCGCCUCUGCGUCGAUGAUACUCCUCGUGGGGAAAGUAGAACGACGCCAACA
rnacentral:rRNA from 1 species